rnacentral:rRNA from 1 species
GGAUUAGAUACCCUGGUAGUCCACGCUGUAAACGGUGCACAUUUGCCGUAGGGGGAAUUGACCCCCCCUGUGGCGUAGCAAACGCGUUAAAUGUGCCGCCUGGGGAGUACGGCCGCAAGGUUAAAACUCAAAGAAAUUGACGGGGGCCCGCACAAGCGGAGGAGCAUGUGGCUUAAUUCGAUGCAACGCGAAGAACCUUACCUAGACUUGACAUGUAACUGCACGACCGGUGAAAGCCGGUUUCCUUCGAGGGUGUUACACAGGUGCUGCAUGGCUGUCGUCAGCUCGUGCCG